AGAGUUUGAUCCUGGCUCAGAACGAACGCUAGCGGUGCGCUUUAAGCAUGCAAGUCGAGCGGUAAGGCCCUUCGGGGUACACGAGCGGCAAACGGGUGCGUAACACGUGACUACCAACCCAGUGGUGGGGGAUAGCCUAGGGAAACUUAGGGUAGACCUCCAUAAGCCCGGCAACGGGGAAAUCUCCGGAGCCAUUGGACGGGGUUGCGGCCCAUUAGUUAGUUGGCGGGGUAAUGGCCCACCAAGACGAUGAUGGGUAGCCGGUUUGAGAGAAUGGCCGGCCACAUUGGGACUGCGACACGGCCCAGACUCCUACGGGAGGCAGCAGCUAGGAAUCUUCCGCAAUGGGCGAAAGCCUGACGGAGCGACACCGCGUGUAUGAUGAAUGCCUUUACGGGUUGUAAAGUACUUUUGCAGGAGAAGAUGGUUUGGCAUUAGGCUGAAUUGACGUUAUUCUGCGAAUAAGCCCCGGCUAAUUCCGUGCCAGCAGCCGCGGUAAUACGGAAGGGGCAAGCGUUGUUCGGAAUUAUUGGGCGUAAAGGGAGCGUAGGCGGCGUGUUAAGUGGAGCUAUUCAGUGACGGGCUCAACCUGUCAAUUGGUUCCAAACUGACAUGCUAGAGUCCGCUAGAGGAUACUGGAAUUCCGGGUGUAGGGGUGAAAUCUAAAGAUAUCCGGAGGAACACCGAUGGCGAAGGCAGGUAUCUGGGGCUGGACUAACGCUGAGGCUCGAAAGCCAGGGGAGCAAACGGGAUUAGAUACCCCGGUAGUCCUGGCUGUAAACGUUGUCAACUAGGUGGUGAUUGUGUCGAUCCAAGCGCCAUCCAAGCAAACGUGAUAAGUUGACCGCCUGGGGAGUAUGCACGCAAGUGUGAAACUCAAAGGAAUUGACGGGGGCCCGCACAAGCGGUGGAGCAUGUGGUUUAAUUCGAUGAUACGCGAGGAACCUUACCUGGGUUUGACAUCUUGAUGACUGCCGGUGAAAGCCGGUUUCCCUUCGGGGCAUCAGGACAGGUGCUGCAUGGCUGUCGUCAGCUCGUGUCGUGAGAUGUGGUGGUUAAGUCCCGCAACGAGCGCAACCCUUGUCCUGUGUUGCCAGCCAGGCUUCGGUCUGGGGCACUCUCAGGAGACUGCUGUCGAAAGGCAGAGGAAGGAAAGGAUGACGUCAAGUCCUCAUGGCUCUUACAUCCAGGGCUACACACGUGCUACAAUGGCUACUACAAACGCUGCAACCUCGCAAGAGCAAGCGAAUCGUAAAAAAGUAGUCUCAGUUCGGAUUGCAGUCUGAAACUCGACUGCAUGAAGCUGGAAUCGCUAGUAAUCGUAUAUCAGCAUGAUACGGUGAAUACGUUCCCGGGCCUUGUACACACCGCCCGUCACACCACCCGAAUUGAGCCGGCCCGAAGUCCGCAGUAUCCUGCGGCCGAAGGUCAGUUCAGUAAGGGGGGUGAAGUCGUAACAAGGUAGCCGUACCGGAAGGU
rnacentral:rRNA from 1 species